AAGCGUACACGGUGGAUGCCCUGGCAGUCAGAGGCGAUGAAGGACGUGCUAAUCUGCGAAAAGCGCCGGCGAGGUGAUACGAACCUUUGACCCGGCGAUGUCCGAAUGGGGAAACCCAGUGUGAUUCGUCAACACUAUCGUUAACUGAAUACAUAGGUUAACGAGGCGAACCGGGGGAACUGAAACAUCUAAGUACCCCGAGGAAAAGAAAUCAACCGAGAUUCCCCCAGUAGCGGCGAGCGAACGGGGAGCAGCCCGGAGUCUGAAUCAGCUUGUGUGUUAGUGGAACGGACUGGAAAGUCCGACGGUACAGGGUGAUAGUCCCGUACACGAAAGCACACAGGUUGUGAACUCGAAGAUAGGGCGGGACACGUGGUAUCCUGUCUGAAUAUGGGGGGACCAUCCUCCAAGGCUAAAUACUCCUGACUGACCGAUAGUGAACCAGUACCGUGAGGGAAAGGCGAAAAGAACCCCGGCGAGGGGAGUGAAAAAGAACCUGAAACCGUGUACGUACAAGCAGUGGGAGCCUCUUUAUGGGGUGACUGCGUACCUUUUGUAUAAUGGGUCAGCGACUUAUAUUCUGUAGCAAGGUUAACCGUAUAGGGGAGCCGAAGGGAAACCGAGUCUUAACUGGGCGUUAAGUUGCAGGGUAUAGACCCGAAACCCGGUGAUCUAGCCAUGGGCAGGUUGAAGGUUGGGUAACACUAACUGGAGGACCGAACCGACUAAUGUUGAAAAAUUAGCGGAUGACCUGUGGCUGGGGGUGAAAGGCCAAUCAAACCGGGAGAUAGCUGGUUCUCCCCGAAAGCUAUUUAGGUAGCGCCUCGUGAACUCAUCUUCGGGGGUAGAGCACUGUUUCGGCUAGGGGGCCAUCCCGGCUUACCAACCCGAUGCAAAMUGCGAA
rnacentral:rRNA from 2 species